GGUGACCCCAGGGGUGACCCCAGGGGUGACCCCAGGGUGACCACAGGAGUGACCCCAGGGUGACCCAGGGUGACACUGGGGACACCGAGCCUGUGGUCAGUGGCACUGGGGACACCGGGGUUGGUGGCAUCAGUGACACUGAGGUGGCCAAGGGCACCGGGGGCACGGGGGUGGCAGAGGUUGGUGGCACCAGGGACGCUGGGCCUGUGGUCAGUGGCACUGGGGACACCAUGGUGGCAGAGGCCGGUGGCACUGGGGACACCAAGGUUGGUGGCCCUGGGGACACCGGGCCUGGCUGGUGGUACUGGGGACAUCACAGUGGCCGAGGUUGGUGGCACCAGGGACACCAGGUUUGGUGACACUGGGGACACUGAGGUUGGUGGCACUGAGGACACCACAGUGGCUGAGACUGGUGGCUCUGGGGACACCGAGCCUGGCUGGUGACACUGAGGUGGCUGAGGUUGGUGACACUGGGGACACUGGGUUUGGUGGCAGUGGG